UCAUCUUCGUUGAACCUUAUUUUCGUGAUCCGUUUAAUGCCAUUUAAGAAUUAUAAAGGGAAGUAUAAAUGUGUUUCUUUGAAUUACUAUAUAGAUUUGUAGUAAUUAAAAUUAAUGCUAAUUAAACUGAAAUAUUGAAUGUUCUAAUUAAACUGAAAUAUUGAAUGUUUUCUUUUAUUGUAAUGUAUUCUAGUCUAAUAUGGUUAUAACACUUCCUAUAAAUGCGAUUUUUUCCCCUGC
rnacentral:lncRNA from 1 species